ACCAUCAUGGUGUGUGCUUGACUCCGCUUCUUGCCAUGUCUUCUCACAAGACUUUCAGGAUUAAGCGAUUCCUGGCCAAGAAACAAAAGCAAAAUCGUUCCAUUCCCCAGUGGAUUAGGAUGAAAACUGGCAAUAAAAUCAGGUACAACUCCAAAAGGAGACAUCGGAGAAGAACCAAGCUGGGUCUAUAAGGAAUUGCACGUGAGAUGGCACACACAUUUAUGCUGUCUGAAGGUCACAAUCACAUUACCGUAUCAAGCUGAAAACAUCACCAUUAUCUGGAGAAUUAGACAUGUUUUACUGGGAAUAUAUUUUUCCUUUCUGAAUCUGUUAUGAAUGCAUUGGUUGGCUGGGUUCAGUAAUAAAUAUGUGAGACCUUUCAUU